rnacentral:rRNA from 1 species
AUGGAUUUAGAUGGAUCAUGGUUGGAUUUUUCAAAGAAAAUGGGGAGUCGAAGACAACAUGGUGUUAACCACUUUGGUCCAAUCUUGAGAAAGCCAUCCAUAAGGAAGGCACCAGGCAAACUCAAGAAAAAGUGUCUUGAACAAUUGAAGAGAACUCAACAGUUGUUUAGGAGAGGUGAUGAUAAUCUUGCGAAAAGACCUCAACAAAAUAAGGUUGCAACAAAACACACACUCCGUUUUCCUUUCAAUGAGCCUAGCCAUUCUAAGCCAGUGUCUCGACCAAAUGUCUCGUCACGUUCUUCAUGGCCAAACAAAGGUAUGGCUUCUCCACGGGAAGAUGUUGAGAAGUCCAAACCCUCUUUCUCUAGGACUCUCACCCAGAAGGCUAGUCCAUCUUGCGCAAUGCAUAAUAUUGGCAUUGAUUCUCUGCCAAAGAAUACUAUCAAGUUUAGACCCUGUGGUAAUAUCUUGAGGCCAAACAAUGGUAUGGGUUCAUCGGCGAGGAAUGUGGAGUCUUACUCAAGGUUAAAUAACGUUGAAGCUCCUCGUUCAAAGAAUACCAAGAUGCCGGGAUCCUCUUACUCAAGACCCAAUGAUGAGAUGGCUCCUCAGUCAAUGAAAGCUAGGCCCUUCUCCUCUGGGUCGAAUUGUGGGUCCGGUCCUUUGGUGAGGAAGGAUGAUUCAAAUUUCACAUUUGAUAUUUCAAAGAAAUCGUACCCCUCUUCAUUGGUUUGCAACUCACGGAAAGAAGACCAUCCGAUUGUGAUGGAAGCUUCAAAUUCCAACUUAGCUUUGAAGGGUAAAAAAGUCAUGGAAGAUAUCUUGCCCAACUUGGGGAUCAAUUGUGAUUCCUUAUUACCUAGUAAGAACCUUUCAAGUCACCAAACGGUUGAGGCAUCAUGCAUGGUCAAUUCAAUCGACGGUUACAUUCAACUUGACAGUAGAAAGUGCAAGUCUAGCCUUUCGAAGGAUGGAAGAACCGAUGUGUACAAAUCUAAGAGUAAGAGGAUGGAGUCGUUGUUGGAAGAGAAGUUUGAGGCAUGUGGGGUCGCUAGAUUGACAGAAUCAAUCCCAUUAAACUUGACAAUAAGAGCACUAGCCUCGGGAAGGAUGAAAGGUCCGUUGAUGACAAGUUUAAUAAGAGGAAGAGGACUGAGAAUUGUAGUUGAAUAA